rnacentral:rRNA from 1 species
UACGGGGGGAGCAAGCGUUGUUCGGAUUUACUGGGCGUAAAGGGCGCGUAGGCGGCGCAACAAGUCACUUGUGAAAUCUCCGGGCUUAACCCGGAGCGGUCAAGUGAUACUGUCGUGCUAGAGUGCGGAAGGGGCUACUGGAAUUCUCGGUGUAGCGGUGAAAUGCGUAGAUAUCGAGAGGAACACCUGCGGCGAAGGCGGGUAGCUGGGCCUUACCUGACGCUGGAGGCGCGAAAGCUAGGGGAGCGAACAGG